GCCACGCUAGCUCAGUUGGUAGAGCAGCGGUUUUGUAAACCGCAGGUCGUCGGUUCGAGUCCGACGCGUGGCU
rnacentral:tRNA from 1 species